AAGAGAUCCUGAAAACCAACAUUCCACACAGAACUCUCAGAAGCUGGGCAGUUGCUAGACAGAGUUGGUGGACUCCUCUGGAAGAGGGAGAGGCUGCUUUUCUCUAGCAGUCAGGAAAGCCCAGAGGGUUUCUGUCUGGUAUCUCUGGGGUGGGCCCAGAGAACCAGUGGUUACCUCUUCUUUGGCUUUCUUGAUAUUCUGCCUGUUCCUGCCUGCUAUUGCUGCCAGUGUUACUUAUGUCAAGUGGAUUUCAACAGGCUAUUACUGGGACUACUGUUUGAAUCAAAGAGGACUCCUAUGUUUUCUAGAACCUGAGGUUAAAUGAUUUGCCCAGGAUUGCACAGCUAGUGGCUAGAGAAGCUAGAGUAGCAAUAGGGAAGAAUGAAGAGGAGGAGGACAAGGAGGACAAGGAAGAUGAGGAAGACCAGGAAGAAGAAAAAGGAAAGAAGUCCAUUGGAGCAAUUUUUUAUAGCCAGAGAGAAUCACAGAUGAGCAGGAAAGUUUUAUGAGUUACAGAUUAAAUUUAUUUUGUACUUUAAAAGAAAAAUAAAUUGGACACUGGAGAGAUGCUCA
rnacentral:lncRNA from 1 species